rnacentral:rRNA from 1 species
UACGUAGGGUGCGAGCGUUGUCCGGAAUUAUUGGGCGUAAAGGGCUCGUAGGCGGUUUGUCGCGUCGGGAGUGAAAUCCACUGGCUUAACUGGUGGCUUGCUUUCGAUACGGGCAGACUGGAGGUAUGCAGGGGAGAACGGAAUUCCUGGUGUAGCGGUGAAAUGCGCAGAUAUCAGGAGGAACACCGGUGGCGAAGGCGGUUCUCUGGGCAUGUCCUGACGCUGAUGCACGAAAGCUAGGGGAGCAAACAGG